ACUCCUACGGGAGGCAGCAGUGGGGAAUAUUGCACAAUGGGCGCAAGCCUGAUGCAGCCAUGCCGCGUGUGUGAAGAAGGCCUUCGGGUUGUAAAGCACUUUCAGUCGUGAGGAAGGUGGUAGUGUUAAUAGCACUAUCAUUUGACGUUAGCGACAGAAGAAGCACCGGCUAACUCCGUGCCAGCAGCCGCGGUAAUACGGAGGGUGCGAGCGUUAAUCGGAAUUACUGGGCGUAAAGCGCAUGCAGGUGGUUGUUAAGUCAGAUGUGAAAGCCCGGGGCUCAACCUCGGAAUAGCAUUUGAAACUGGCAAACUAGAGUACUGGUAGAGGGGGUAGAAUUUCAGGUGUAGCGGUGAAAUGCGUAGAGAUCUGAAGGAAUACCGGUGGCGAAGGCGGCCCCCUGGACAGAUACUGACACUCAGAUGCGAAAGCGUGGGAGCAAACAGGAUUAGGACCUACGUGGU
rnacentral:rRNA from 1 species